rnacentral:rRNA from 1 species
GACGAACGCUGGCGGCGUGCUUAACACAUGCAAGUCGAACGGAAAGGCCCUGCUUUUUUGGGGUGCUCGAGUGGCGAACGGGUGAGUAACACGUGAGUAACCUGCCCUUGACUUUGGGAUAACUUCAGGAAACUGGGGCUAAUACCGGAUAGGAGCUCCUGCUGCAUGGUGGGGGUUGGAAAGUUUCGGCGGUUGGGGAUGGACUCGCGGCUUAUCAGCUUGUUGGUGGGGUAGUGGCUUACCAAGGCUUUGACGGGUAGCCGGCCUGAGAGGGUGACCGGCCACAUUGGGACUGAGAUACGGACCAGACUCCGACGGGGGGCAGCAGUGGGGAAUAUUGCACAAUGGGCGGAAGCCUGAUGCAGCAACGCCGCGUGCGGGAUGACGGCCUUCGGGUUGUAAACCGCUUUCGCCUGUGACGAAGCGUGAGUGACGGUAAUAGGUAAAGAAGCACCGGCUAACUACGUG